rnacentral:rRNA from 1 species
UACGAAGGGGGCUAGCGUUGUUCGGAAUCACUGGGCGUAAAGGGCGCGUAGGCGGCCGAUCACGUCGGGGGUGAAAGCCUGUGGCUCAACCACAGAAUUGCCUUCGAUACUGUUUGGCUUGAGACCGGAAGAGGUUAGUGGAACUGCGAGUGUAGAGGUGAAAUUCGUAGAGAUUGGGUGGAACACCAGUGGCGAAGGCGCCUGUCUGGCUGAUAACUGACGCUGAGGCUCGAAAGCGUGGGGAGCAAACAGG